GUCGUUGUGAUAAAAAUAAUGAAGCGGAGAUUCAGUCCUCAGAGUGAAUGAACAAAGGAGAAAGAGACAUAACGGAUCAGACGAUAUGACUAAAAUGGAAGGUAGGUCAAUUCUGAAAGUGCAGAGGGACUCUCAGGGCUCCUGAAUCCAGACCUGAUGAGUCACUUCCCUGCUCGGAGCCCCGCUCCUCUGGUGUGAAAUGAAGGGGUUG
rnacentral:lncRNA from 10 species